GCCUGGAUGGCUCAGUUGGUUAAGCGUCCGACUUCGGCUCAGGUCAUGAUCUCACAGUUUGUGGGUUCAAGCCCCGCAUCGGGCU
rnacentral:tRNA from 1 species